AUAAAAAGUUACCUCUGUGGAGACUUUGCCGGGGGGGCCCUGUGCCCGGGUGGGGCUGCAGGCAGCCUGGUGCCAGCUCUUGCCCUCCUGAAGGAACCCUCCUUCCAACAGGCGAGGGUAACAGGUGCCAUUCUGUUGCCAAGCGGGCCAUUGUGUCAAAUGCUCACCGCUCUUACUUAAAAUUAACCAAACGUGUUUUGGUGAGAAAAAAGAAAUCCUACUUCACUAGCUUAGUUGUUUGUUUUUCCAAAUCUCUGUAGGUAGGUUGAUUGUUACCCUUGAGGGAAAUGGGGAAAUGGCUAAACACCCAGCCUUCUGACCAACUCUUGGGGGAAGGAAGCCACAAGACACAUGGAGGACCUGAAGGAACGUCUUCCACGCUUUCAGACUGUAUGUUUGCAUUUGCAGAAACCCCAAGACUCCAGCCCAGCUGCCCGAAUCCACGUAAACAUAUCUGUGGAGGUGAUGACCCACAUGCUCCCUCCCUUUGGCAUGUUCAGUUUUUGGCGACGAGGGGUAACAACUUGGAAUUGCUUUUUCUCCUUUGCCUCAGUGGUGAUAAUGUGUCAUCUAGUGCGUCCCAUGUCACACGUUCUUGUCGGCGAGCUCGGAAAUCCUGUUUGGCCUUGGAAGUGCGUGGAUCACGUGAGGGGAACUGCAUGAUGAUGGAAAGUUCUGGACGUCAGGAAUCAGCUGAAAUGAGUGGGAUUGGCCAUGGGCUCACAAAAGCCGAAUUUCUAUAAUCGACGAGGAGAUUCCUGGAAAGCGUCGAAGAUAAAACUGUAGGGAGAGUCUUGGCCUGAUCACUGCAAUGUAAAAUGGGAGGAGAAUACAGUACUUGGGGACGUGAGAACCCUCAGGAGUGGGAAGAGACCAGGGUGGAAGCUAACGCUUGAUGAACAGGGAGUUCUGGCCAGACAUAUCGGGUGCACUGACAUUCCAUCCUCGGAUCGGGCCCCAUCAGGGUUCAAAAAUCAGAACAGCAUAUGGCGAGAAUUCUUCUUUGUACUCCUGACCCAUCGUCUUCUCGAGGAAAAGAAGAAACAGGACUUUUACACUUCAGGGUGAGUGCCUCAUCAGUGGACACGGACUUCCUUCUGGUGCCUUCUAAGGCUGGAUGCUGCUGGAACCAAGGACCUUGAGCUGUCCUUCAUCCCUGCAUUUCUUCCCAGGACCUCUGCCCUCACUCAGCUGCUUUUGGCAGCUCCUGUGCAUUCUUUGAAGUCUGCAGCUUAUCUCUCCCUCCUAGUUUCCCUAAAAAUGUGGAGUUCAGAGCUUUGUGGUUCAUUUUGUGUUUUUUUUUUUUUUUUGUUUUUGCUUUGUUUUGUUUGUUUUUUUUCACUUUUCUUAUUUCACUUCCGUGAUUCUAGGACAGGAUUACAUGCCCCACUCAUACUGGGAGUCUGCCUUCAGCUUUUAUUGUGUAUAUGUUUAUAUAAUUUCAAGGUUUUGGGGUUUUGAGGGGUUUUUUGUUGCCUUUGUUUUUCUUUUUUUGCUACAGAAAUAUUGUAGUUUGGUU